AGUGAACGCUGGCGGCAGGCCUAACACAUGCAAGUCGAACGGCAGCACAGUAAGAGCUUGCUCUUACGGGUGGCGAGUGGCGGACGGGUGAGGAAUACAUCGGAAUCUACUUUUUCGUGGGGGAUAACGUAGGGAAACUUACGCUAAUACCGCAUACGACCUACGGGUGAAAGCAGGGGAUCUUCGGACCUUGCGCGAUUGAAUGAGCCGAUGUCGGAUUAGCUAGUUGGCGGGGUAAAGGCCCACCAAGGCGACGAUCCGUAGCUGGUCUGAGAGGAUGAUCAGCCACACUGGAACUGAGACACGGUCCAGACUCCUACGGGAGGCAGCAGUGGGGAAUAUUGGACAAUGGGCGCAAGCCUGAUCCAGCCAUACCGCGUGGGUGAAGAAGGCCUUCGGGUUGUAAAGCCCUUUUGUUGGGAAAGAAAAGCAGCAGGUUAAUACCCCGCUGUUCCGACGGUACCCAAAGAAUAAGCACCGGCUAACUUCGUG
rnacentral:rRNA from 1 species